rnacentral:rRNA from 1 species
GAUAAACGCUGGCGGCGCCCAUAAGACAUGCAAGUUGAACGGACUUAAUCGAAAUAUUUAUAUUUUGAAGCGGUUAGUGGCGGACUGGUGAGUAACGCGUAAGGAACCUGCCUAUUAGAGGGGAAUAACAGUGAGAAAUCAUUGCUAAUACCGCAUAUGCCAUAGAUAUCACAUGAUAACAGUGGGAAAGGAGCAAUCCGCUAAUAGAUGGCCUUGCGUCUGAUUAGAUAGUUGGUGGGGUAACGGCCUACCAAGUCGACGAUCAGUAGCCGGACUGAGAGGUUGAACGGCCACAUUGGGACUGAGAUACGGCCCAGACUCCUACGGGAGGCAGCAGUCGGGAAUAUUGCGCAAUGGAGGAAACUCUGACGCAGUGACGCCGCGUAUAGGAAGAAGGUUUUCGGAUUGUAAACUAUUGUCGUUAGGGAAGAGAAAGGACAGUACCUAAGGAGGAAGCUCCGGCUAACUACGUG